AAAAAAAUCCCAAAACGUGACAUUGCACCUUUUCUAUAACUAUCAACAUCAUCAUCAUUUCAACCGGAUCUUCUUCGACCCGAAAAUAAUUUCAAAUUCUCAGUUCUUACAAAACCUAACCCUAAUUCUUCAAUUUUUUUCAAUUCAAUGGCCAGUGAUUCCAAUGAACCUGCUAUUCGUAAACACCAUCGAUCUUCUCCUUCAGAUGAAGAUAACGGAGAACCAUCGAAACGCCGUAAACACCGUCACCACCACCGUCACCAUCGCCACCACAGCAAAAAAUCCGACCCGAAACCCGAUUCGAAACCCGAAAACGACACGGGUAAACCGAAAGGUGAGAUUGAGAAUUUAGGGAUUGGUACUGUUAUUGGUGUUGCUGAUUUAGGGAUUGAUUAUGAUGAUAUGGAAGAAGGUGAAAUUAUUGAGGAUGAUGACGUGGCAACAAAAAAAUUGGAGAAUGAAGAUGAUUUGGACAUGGAGUUGCAUGAACCUCAAGGACAAGGGCCUACAGACAAUGUGGAAAAAGUCGACAGAGAUUCCGCUGCUUCAGGACGGCAUGAUGAGCAAAGGAAAAGUAGAAAAUCUAAUAGUUCUAGAGAAAGGAAAUCCAGUGACAAGCAUUUUGCGAAUGGUAGUUACAUAGCUGAAUCUCAUAAAUUGGACUCUAAAGCUCAGAAAGAAGAUAGUUUUGCUGGUGAAGAAAGUAGAAAGAAAAAGAGCUAUGAUGAGGAUGAAAGUGAUAUACAGGAUCAAAGAAAAUCUAUGACACCUGAAAAUGUUGGGAAGAGGCAUAGAUCUGUUAGGGUAUCAUCUUCUCGUGAUGAGCACCAUGAAGAGAAACAUGUUACAAGGUCAUCCAAGUCACCUGAUCGGUCCAGAGGAAGAUCGCGAUCCAAAAGUGUUUUAGAGGAGUCUUUCCUUGUACCUAAGUCUCGUGAGAAAGAUGACACAAAUGAGAGGGAAAGCAGAUAUAGAAGUAACUUGGAUGAUGGGGAAAUUGGACACAACAGAGACUAUCGACAUGGAAGCCGAGAGUCUUCAAGGGAUUGGGAAAAAGAGCAUAAUUCUAGUUACAGCAGACGCUCUAGGGAAGGGUAUCAUAACCGGGAAAGUGUUGACAGAUAUCGGGAGAGUAGCAUGGAGAAUUACAGGGAUAGAGUGAGAGAGAAAGACAGGGAGCGCGAGUUGGCUAGAGAAAAGGGAAGGGAGAGUCAUAAGGAGAAGGAGAGGGAAAGGGAGAGGGAAAGGGAGAGGGAGAGGGACAGAGAGAGGGAAAGAGAGAAAGCUCGAGAUAGGGAAAGAGAGAGGGAGAGGGAUAGAGAACGGGAAUAUGCAAGGGGGACAGUGAGGGAGAGGGAUAGAGAGAGAGAUAGUUUCAGAGAGAGGGAGGAGAGAGAAAGGAGGAAUAGGGAUAGGGAAAGCAGAGGACGUAGUAGGGAGGCAGAUAGGGAUAGAUAUAGUGAUAGGUCCAGCAGGCAGCGGAGAUAUGAUGACCUUGAUGAUGGUCCUGCUUAUAGUAGAUGUAAUAGACAUUAUGAGACUGAUAUUGAGAGAGAAAGGACAAGUGAUCAUUUCAAAACUGAGAACACAAAGCAAAAAGCUGUAGAGACAGACAGUGAGAAAUCUAGAAGAGAUGAAGUUGAGCAGGAGGAUUAUCAGGAAAAAAUUGUUUCCCAGCUUGCUGAACAGGAAGAAGAAGACGAACUUGAUAGAAUUAAGGAGGAGAGCCGAAGGCGAAGGCAAGCUAUUCUUGAAAAAUAUAAGAAUCAGCAGUCGCAGGAGGAAAAAGUUACUCUGUCCGGGGACGUCGUUGAGGUUUACAUGGAUCAGUCCACUCAAAAGCCUGCAGCAGGAGACAAUGUUGUGCCAGAGUCGAUUGAUGGUAAAAGCAAUGGUGCAGAUGUCCAUGUGGAUGAGCCAACUUUUUCUGUUGGGAAAUCACCUUUGCAGGAUGGUGAUAUUGCUGACGAGCAGGCUUCUGGAGCUGGUGGACUGGGAAAGGGUACUCCAAAGAGUGAGAGGUCGGCUGAUAUGUUUUGUGACGAUAUAUUUGGAGAAUCACCUGCUGGCAUCCGGAAAAUGGGCAAAGGAGAUGGCGUGGCAGUUGAGCGCAGUGGCCUUCAUGAUAAUUGGGAUGAUCCAGAAGGGUAUUAUAGUUAUCGGUUCGGAGAAAUUCUUGAUGGCCGUUAUGAGAUUGUUGCUGCUCAUGGUAAAGGAGUCUUUUCUACUGUUGUUCGGGCUAGAGAUCUCAAGGCUAGAUCUGGUGACCCUGAAGAAGUAGCAAUAAAAAUGAUACGCAAUAAUGAAACGAUGUAUAAAGCUGGUAUGGAAGAGUUGGUCAUAUUGAAGAAGCUAGUUGGUGCAGAUCCUGAAGAUAAGCGCCACUGUGUUCGUUUUAUUUCUAGCUUCAAGUACCGGAAUCAUCUCUGUUUAGUUUUUGAGUCUCUUCAUAUGAAUCUCCGUGAGGUUCUGAAGAAGUUUGGGCGUAACAUUGGACUCAAACUUACUGCUGUGAGGACGUAUGCCAAGCAACUUUUCAUUGCUUUGAAGCAUUUAAAAAAUUGUGGUGUGCUUCAUUGUGAUAUUAAACCCGACAACAUGCUGGUAAAUGAAGCGAAAAAUGUGCUGAAGCUUUGUGACUUUGGUAAUGCUAUGUUUGCUGGCAAAAACGAAAUUACUCCAUACCUCGUGAGCCGUUUUUACCGUGCCCCAGAGAUCAUACUUGGCUUGUCGUAUGAUCAUCCGAUGGAUAUAUGGUCUGUUGGUUGCUGUUUGUUUGAGCUUUAUGCUGGGAAAGUGUUAUUUCCAGGUCCAAGUAAUAAUGACAUGCUUCGUCUUCAUAUGGAAUUGAAAGGUCCAUUUCCAAAAAAGAUGCUUAGAAAGGGUGCGUUUACAGAUCAACACUUUGACCAAGAUCUCAAUUUUCUUGCCACCGAAGAGGAUCCUGUGACAAAAAAGGCUAUGAGGAAGCUGAUUGUUAACAUCAAGCCAAAAGAUAUCAGUUCAAUAAUUUCGGGUUCUCCUGGUGAAGACCCAAAGAUGUUGUCUCACUUUAAAGAUCUUAUGGAGAGAAUCUUUGUGUUAGAUCCAGAAAAGAGAAUAACUGUUUCCCAGGCAUUGAGCCACCCAUUCAUCACGGGCAAGUGAACGACAAUGAUGCUAGGGACAUGCUGUUGCGCUAGAUACUAGUGCAUCAUGAUCAUAUGAUCUUAGUUUAUAUUCAGUUCUCUAAUCAUUGGACUUUAUCUGUUUUUAUCUACUAUCUUGGGUUAAGUGCUUCGGAGCUUGGCAUGGUUGAAGUUGCAGAGAAGAUUGCUGACCGUGGGAGAUCUAUAUCUUGGCAGUUCUUUCAGUGGAUUGUUUUCUGUUCUAUCGAUAUCUACCAGGGCUUUGAGGCAAGAUUCAGUGAUUUAGAUGCUUAAAAGGCACCCUGGAGAAGGUACCUUGGAUUGUUUGUUAGGAAUUACUGUGACACCCUUUAAAUGUUGUGGAUCAUCUUGAUUCCUCUAACAUCAGCCAAAAUUCGUGUUUUCUCCUUUGUGUUAACUUUUUAAUUUUUCUUGACAAGUUCUGAUUUCUGAACUUUAAUUUGGUCUUGCCUGAAAAAUUGAACGCCUGAGGGUGGCUUGUUAAUGAGCCUCCUUAGGCUAGAAUAGUAAAGCUAUCAAGAGCAAGAGUAUUUAUUCUAUUUGGGCUCAUCGUUUUUUCUGGAAAUAAUUUGGAGUCAUUGUUAUUUCUUCUAUUUCUUAAAUCUUUGUAUAAAAACACUUUCUAAUGAAGUUGCAUUGCAUCUGAUCCAUGGUAUGGUCAUCCUGGAGCAAUGUAUGACUGGAGAUGAUCAGAUGCAGCCUUGAAGUGAGAGUUGUUUCAGGUGUGGUUUUCAUGCAUCUGCAGUUCUAGUAAGUAUCCUUGAAUUUCAUUACAUCUCUGGUGUAAUAGGUACCCAUCUUUUGAAAACCUUAUAUUAUUCUAUCAAUGUAUUACGUUCAAAGUUUGCUAGUCAUCCAUGGAAAUGACCGACUUGGAGUCCUCGGAUUAAAUUUUUUAACUGGUUUUGCUAAUAAAGGCCAUUGUGGAUCAAAAUCUCUCUCAAAUUUCUGUUGUCACUCUACCUAACACUUAGUUCCCGUGCCAGAUUGUCAUGAAAACAAUCAUAUGUCUAGCUUGCAUUGGAAUUUGACUUUGUAGCUCCUCUAAGCAACUGCUAUUAAAUUCUCUAUAAUUAGUUUAAUUUUCGAUUCUGCAAGAUUGAAGUGUCGGUCUAAGCUACAACAUGUCUUCAUUGAGGCAUCAGGAGAUGUUCUGACUUGAUUGUUCUUGAAGCCUAUUGAUUGGGAACUUCUGGAAACUUCCAUAUAGGUUGAAAGGAUUUGAGGGAAAUACACUGGAAUGUGUCGGAGAGUUUGUGCCUGGAGCUCUCCAGCCUUUAUUUGUGUUUGUUUUAUUGGACGCCCUUGAACGAGGCAGGUUAGAGGAUUGAGUGAGCUGCCCUCCAACGAGGUAAAUUAGAUAGGGAGAAACCUGAUGGCAUGGACUAGUGGUCAAUGAAGUAGGAGGAGCAGCAUGAGUCUCAGGGUCAAAUUCCAGUGGAGGCAAAGAACACUAGGCGAUUCCUUCCCAUCUGCCUAAGCCUUGGUGGGUAGAGCUCAAGGCAGAGCUACUCAAUACCCCUGUGCUGGUAGGAGGUAGUAAGUACCCGGUUGGCAUAAAAUAAGGGAGAAGUGUUAUAGUGCUCUCCAUUGUAUGCUUUGUCGUAUGUUACCUUAUGCUAAAUUUUAGCAAGUUGCCCACUUCAAUAGGUGGCCAGUUGAUGUUUCCCCAUUUGAAGUGAUGAUAAACCUCAAACAAGUUUAAUCUAGGACAAAUUUACCAUCCCACACGUAAAGAAAAAAUAGAGCACAGUGAUAGAGAAGAGGAUUGGCGCUCAUGUGUGUUAGUUGGCCAUAAGGAUGUGAGGAAAUGUUUGGUUUCUGAACAAGCAUGGGAUUCUCGUUCAAUAUGCAUUGCAUUUUUCUCCAAUCUACAUAGUCAAGGAAACAUUUGACCAGCUUCCCAAUUUUUUUUUCUCUCCACUUUCUUAGGCACCAAUGUUCUGCUCCUUGGCGAGGCCUCUCUGACUCUGGCUAUCCAAUUUGUAGCCAUUAGACUUCAUUAUUGAUGGCAAGCUCCAAUAAGUAACUCUAGUUUUCUAUCCACGGGAUCUGGCCAUCUCGAAAGAAUUGAGAUGUGACGUAUAACCAAGAGUCUUUAAACCUCUCAACACAUGACUACUAUUCGGCUAGUAAUCUUUCUAUCCCAUGCUAACAAAUUCAACAUUCAAGUUCGAUUUCAUUUUUUAGGCUUAUGGUACGUUCAUUGUCAUGCUAGGCACUAGCAAUUACUUUCGUCAUUUAUUAAUUCUACGUGUUGGUGGGUUUCUAUUUUUGUAGUUUUAUUCUUGCAAAGAACUUCUACAAUUCAAAGCAUUCUAGGUUUUACUUCAUUUUUCCACGUUUCUUGUAAAGUACAAUCUUUUAUCUAUUUUCUAGCAUGUCUUAUAUGUUAUCGUCUUAUCUGUUGCUAUGCUGGAGUUUUUGUGCGCGAUAGGAGGCAUUAAUUGUUUAUUUGGGUUAAGACUAAGAUGGACGGCUUGUCUUUCAAAUUGCUUUGAAUAUAAAAAGUUGUUAGAAAAUACACUUAUCCAAAGGAGUGUAAGGGUUUUCAAAGAGAGUUUAUAAAGCCCUAGCCACGCUACCCAUAGCUUUAAGUUUCCGGUUACAUGCUAGUUACCUUAUUGGUUUGUCUAGGGGUUUGUAGAGGAGCUUAUAAUGUCGGGAUUGUUCCACUCAUAACUUAAAGAUUUUGAGUUGGAUAUUUAGAUUCUUUCACAUGGUGUCUGAGAUAACUUUUGGUAAGCCCGUUUUCACAAUUGUAUUACUCUGCUAUUAGUUUGGUCUGGACUUCUCACUUGCUCAAUUCAGUACAUCGAGCCAUUAAUUUUUUUCAGGAUUAUCUUGUGGUUUGUUGAGCCUACUCGUUCUCUGCCCCAUGCCCACUCUUCAGUUUAUUGAGUCUAUUCUCUCUCCCGCAACUUUUGGUCCAUUCUCGCCUGGUGUCUCUCCUCAGGUUCAUCUUUAGUUCCUUAAUAAAAUUGAGCAAAAAAAAAAAAA